rnacentral:rRNA from 1 species
UACGUAGGGUGCGAGCGUUAAUCGGAAUUACUGGGCGUAAAGCGUGCGCAGGCGGUUCGUUGUGUCGGUGGUGAAAUCCCCGGGCUCAACCUGGGAACUGCAUUUGUGACUGCAAGGCUGGAGUACGGUAGAGGGGGAUGGAAUUCCGCGUGUAGCAGUGAAAUGCGUAGAGAUGUGGAGGAACACCAGUGGCGAAGGCGACUCUUUGGCCUGUAACUGACACUGAGGCGCGAAAGCGUGGGGAGCAAACAGG